rnacentral:ncRNA from 1 species
ACAAGAGAGACACCCGCUCACAGGUGACCGUGAGCGGUACAGGCCGAGGCCUCCCCGGCUUCGACCUGGUCGUGCCCUCGCGCACACAACCGGAGCUCCCGGGUUCCGGGUCUCCUCACGAUCGGA